rnacentral:tRNA from 1 species
GUGGCACAAAUGGUUGAGCAUUCGGCUACUAACCGAAAAAUUGGUGGUUCAAGUCCAUCC